rnacentral:rRNA from 1 species
UACGUAGGGUGCAAGCGUUGUCCGGAAUUACUGGGCGUAAAGAGUUCGUAGGCGGUUUGUCGCGUCGUUUGUGAAAACCAGCAGCUCAACUGCUGGCUUGCAGGCGAUACGGGCAGACUUGAGUACUGCAGGGGAGACUGGAAUUCCUGGUGUAGCGGUGAAAUGCGCAGAUAUCAGGAGGAACACCGGUGGCGAAGGCGGGAUCUCGUGGGCAGUAACUGACGCUGAGGAACGAAAGCGUGGGUAGCGAACAGG